UGGUUUGAUGUCACAAUGAAUGAU
rnacentral:siRNA from 1 species